UACGUAGGGGGCAAGCGUUGUCCGGAAUCAUUGGGCGUAAAGAGCGUGUAGGCGGCCAGAUAAGUCCGCUGUGAAAUCUCGAGGCUCAACUUCGAGCUGUCGGUGGAAACUGUCUGGCUAGAGUCCGGAAGAGGAGAAUGGAAUUCCUGGUGUAGCGGUGAAAUGCGCAGAUAUCAGGAAGAACACCCGUGGCGAAGGCGGUUCUCUGGGACGGUCCUGACGCUGAGACGCGAAAGCGUGGGGAGCGAACAGG
rnacentral:rRNA from 1 species